UACGGGGGGGCAAGCGUUGUUCGGAAUUACUGGGCGUAAAGGGCUCGUAGGUGGCCAACUAAGUCAAACGUGAAAUCCCUCGGCUUAACCGGGGAACUGCGUUUGAUACUGGAUGGCUUGAGUUCGGAAGAGGAGAGUGGAAUUCCUGGUGUAGCGGUGAAAUGCGCAGAUAUCAGGAAGAACACCCGUGGCGAAGGCGGCUCUCUGGGACGGUACUGACGCUGAGACGCGAAAGCGUGGGGAGCGAACAGG
rnacentral:rRNA from 1 species